AGGUCAAGCGAACAAGGGCGCAGGGCGAAUGCCUUGGCACUGGGAGCCGAUGAAAGACGUGAUAAGCUGCGAUAAGCUUCGGGGAGCUGCAAAUAAGCAUUGAUCCGGAGAUUUCUGAAUGAGGAAACUCACCUGGGUUCAUACUCAGGUACGUUAUACUGAACUUAAAAAUAGGUAUAUCGAGGGAACCGCCUGAACUGAAACAUCUAAGUAGGGCGAGGAAGAGACAUCAAACGAGAUUCCGUAAGUAGUGGCGAGCGAACGCGGAAGAGGGCAAACCGGAAGUAGAAAUACUUCCGGGGUACGGACCGCAUUUAGGACUUAAGUUGUUAACCGAACGGCAUGGGAAGGCCGGUCAGAGAGUGUGAGAACCACGUAGGUGAAAACGACAAGAGCUGAGCGAGUUCCAGAGUACGGCCAGACACGUGAAACCUGGUCGGAAUACGGGGGGACCACCCUCCAACCCUAAAUACUACCCAGUGACCGAUAGCGUAUAGUACUGUGAAGGAAAGGUGAAAAGCACCCCGGGAGGGGAGUGAAAAAGAACCUGAAACCCUGUGCCUACAAGCACCUAGAGCACGUCAAUGUGUGAUAGGGUACUUUUUGUAGAACGGUCCGGCGAGCGAUUGUAUGCAGCAAGGUUAAGGACUUAAGGUCUGGAGCCGAAGCGAAAGCGAGUUUGAAAAGGGCGUUAAGUUGCAUACAAUGGGCCCGAAACCGGGUGACCUACCCAUGGUCAGGUUGAAGUGGAAGUAAAAUUCCAUGGAGGACCGAACCGACCUCCGUUGAAAAGGCGGCGGAUGAACUGUGGGUAGCGGAGAAAUUCCAAUCGAACCCGGAGAUAGCUGGUUCUCCCCGAAAUAGUUUUAGGACUAGCCUCAAGUUAGAUACCUGGAGGUAAAGCACUGAAUAGCCUAGCGGCCGAGAGGUUAGCGAAGCUUAUCAAACUCAGAAUGCCAGAGUAUUGAUGCUUGGGAGUCAGACAGUGUCAGAUAAAUGUCAUUGUCAAAAGGGAAACAGCCCAGAUCUACAGCUAAGGUCCCAAAGUCAGGUUAAGUGGAAAACGAUGUGAAGAUACGUAGACAACCAGGAUGUUGGCUCAGAAGCAGCCACACAUUCAAAGAGUGCGUAAUAGCUCACUGGUCGAGCGUCUUUGCGCGGAGAAUUUAACGGGGCUAAACCUGACACCGAAGCUUAGGCAAUACAGCAAUGUAUUGGGUAGGGGAGCGUUGUAUACGCGGUGAAACAGUAGCGCAAGCGGCUGUGGAGUGUAUAGAAGUGAGAAUGCCGGAAUGAGUAGCGCGAAUGCAGUGAGAAUCUGCAUGGCCGAAAGCCUCAGGUUUCUGGAGGAAGGUUCGUCCGCUCCAGGUUAGUCGGGAGCUAAGGUGAGGCCUAACGGCGUAGCCGAUGCACAGACGGUAGAGAUUCCGUCACCACCAAAAGAGUUAAACACAGGGACACAUUUGAAGUCUCGGAGCCGGGUGUUGGUUCCGGUAGCGAUCGAGGGAAAUUAGUACCGAAGUCCGGGAUGGAAGAUGGCGAGAAAAGCUGUGUGUAUUUCUGCGGUGCCCGUACCGCAAACCGACACAGGUAGGUAGGAAGAAGAUUCUAAGGCCAACGGGAGAAGGGUUGUUAAGGAACUCGGCAAAUUGACCCCGUAACUUCGGGAGAAGGGGUGCUCCAGAGAUGGAGCCGCAGAGAAUCGGCCCAAGCAACUGUUUACCAAAAACACAGGUUUGUGCUAAAUCGAAAGAUGACGUAUACGAGCUGACGCCUGCCCGGUGCUGGAAGGUUAAGAGGAGAUGUGCAAGCAUUGAAUCGAAGCCCCAGUGAACGGCGGCCGUAACUAUAACGGUCCUAAGGUAGCGAAAUUCCUUGUCAGGUAAGUUCUGACCCGCAUGAAAGGCGUAAUGAUUUGGGCACUGUCUCGACAGCCCGCCCGGCGAAAUUGUAGUACCGGUGAAGAUGCCGGUUACCCGCGACAAGACGGAAAGACCCCAUGGAGCUUUACUGUAGCCUAAUAUUGGGUUUCGAUGUUGCAUGCACAGGAUAGAUGGGACACAGGGAAACAAGUGCUUUGGCAUUUGUGGAGUGGCCGUUGGGAUACCAUCCUUGCGAUAUUGGAAUUCUAACCUGCGCCUUUGAAUCAAGGCGGGGGACAUUGUUAGGUGGGCAGUUUGACUGGGGCGGUCGCCUCCUAAAGAGUAACGGAGGCGUUCAAAGGUUCGCUCAGCUUGAACGGAAAUCAAGCAAAAGAGUGCAAACGCAGAAGCGAGCCUAACUGCGAGACUGACGGGUCGAGCAGUAACGAAAGUUGGAGUUAGUGAUCCGGUGGUAUGUGAGUGGAAAUGCCAUCGCUCAACGGAUAAAAGUUACCCUGGGGAUAACAGGCUGAUCUCCCCCAAGAGUCCACAUCGACGGGGAGGUUUGGCACCUCGAUGUCGGCUCAUCGCAUCCUGGGGCUGUAUUCGGUCCCAAGGGUUUGGCUGUUCGCCAAUUAAAGCGGUACGCGAGCUGGGUUCAGAACGUCGUGAGACAGUUCGGUCCCUAUCUGUCGUGGGCGCAGGAUAUUUGAUGGGAGCUGUUCCUAGUACGAGAGGACCGGAGCGGACGUACCUCUGGCGCACCAGUUGUUCUGCCAAGGGCAUAGCUGGGCAACUAUGUACGGAUCGGAUAAACGCUGAAAGCAUCUAAGCGUGAAGCCGACCCAAAGAUAAGAUAUCCCAUUGUUUCAAACAAGUAAGACCCCUUGAAGACUACAAGGUUGAUAGGCACGAUGUGUAAGUGGAGCGAUCCAUUCAGCAAGCGUGUACUAAUAGGUCGAGGGCUUGACCACA
rnacentral:rRNA from 1 species